GCAAGCUACCUGUGCAUGUGAUUCCACUGCAACCUGACCCAUUCUCAGCCUCCUUCCAACACUCACCUCAAGAGAGACCUUCUAUACUGGAAAAAUGAAGUCUCACAAAAGAAUUAACCGGAUCAAAUAUUUUUGACCUUUUGAUGAGUGGAAAAUGUUGGGAUUUUUUUCUGUCAAUCCUUAGACCUGAGAAAAAAGUUGAGGUCAUAUCCGGCAGAACAGAAAGGUAAAGAAGGAUGGAUAUUUGCCCUUGAUGACACUUGAGUGCUUUGACAGUGACAUAACACUUCACAUGCAUCUCUAUUUUAUAUAUUGAGGAGAGACAGCUCAUCAGAUACACAAACUAUAAAUCUAAACUGUAAAUUCUUCCUAUCCAGAUGUCUGUUACACUCACACCAAAAAAAUUAUAUGAAAAAAUAUAUUAUUUCUGUCCUC